rnacentral:rRNA from 1 species
UACGUAGGGGGGCAAGCGUUGUCCGGAAUUAUUGGGCGUAAAGAGCGCGUAGGCGGUCCGAUAAGUCGGCUGUGAAAGUCCAGGGCUCAACCCUGGAAAGCCGGCCGAUACUGUCGGACUAGAGUCCGGAAGAGGCAAGUGGAAUUCCCGGUGUAGCGGUGAAAUGCGCAGAUAUCGGGAGGAACACCAAUUGCGAAGGCAGCUUGCUGGGACGGUACUGACGCUGAGGCGCGAAAGCGUGGGGAGCGAACAGG